UGACGUUUAGCUUAUGUUGCUUAUUGCUUUCAAUUGCAUAGCAAAUCUAAUUACAUUUAGCUGCUUUUUUGUUAAUAUUGAGCUUUAAAGUGAGGCCGCUACUCACAGCUAAACGGACCUAACAAGAUUAUUAAGAUCAUUCACUCGAUUCACCCAAUCCGCAUACGAUAAUCAGUAUCUGGGGAAGCAAAUCUGUCGAAGCGGUGGAAACCACGAACACGCAGAGGAAGAUUUGGAAGACAGCAUAAUAAGCGAGACAAAGUCAAACGGAUCGAGUGUCUGUUGGGGGAACACGUGCAUUUUUACACGACGGGGAUCGAAAAGGUCCCCGUUUUUGUACAUCGAACGAAGUCGUUCCGGUCAGUGCGUGGUGAGAGAUCCGCGACGAGCGAGGUGCGCGCCACCAUCGGAAAUACAGCACAUAGGCUGCUGAGCCGUGAACGGCAGAAUUGCUGGAUGGAUAUUGGGCGCUCAGUCGACCACGUGUUGCACAUCAUAGCAGGCGUGGCCAGGAUUAGAUGUCGUGCUUCUUCGUGUUAGAAACGCGGUGGACCAACGAACUAACCCGCCGAUUUUAGUAACGGCUGAUCAAAAGACACAAGACUGCUGCAAGACAAGCGUGGCGGACGAAGGGACAUAACGUGACGUGUGUAGUGUGGGCCCCCCGCUAAAGCGUAGAAAGAGGAAAGAGGAUAGAAGGAGAGGCGAAAGAAGAGAGAAAGAACAAGAUGCAGUAGGUUAACAAUAAAUGUAGUAGUUGGAUAAUGUGUCGUUGUUUUGUUGGUGCGUUCAGCUUAUUCCUUGUUUGGUGCUAGCGGCACAGUGAAGGCAUGUCCACAGCCGAAGGAAUAAAAUUAUUACACCAGAUAGUGGAGUAAGACAUUUUCAAUGUCAAAAAUUCCAAAAAAAAUAUAAUUUUGAUGUUGUUGCCCCAGAAUCACACAAUAUUUCUUAUAAAA